CCUACGGGGGGCAGCAGUGGGGAAUAUUGCACAAUGGGGGAAACCCUGAUGCAGCGACGCCGCGUGAAGGAAGAAGUAUUUCGGUAUGUAAACUUCUAUCAGCAGGGAAGAAAAUGACGGUACCUGACUAAGAAGCCCCGGCUAACUACGUGCCAGCAGCCGCGGUAAUACGUAGGGGGCAAGCGUUAUCCGGAUUUACUGGGUGUAAAGGGAGCGUAGGCGGUAAUGCAAGUCAGAAGUGAAAGCCCGGGGCUCAACUCCGGGACUGCUUUUGAAACUGUGUUACUAGAUUGCAGGAGAGGUAAGUGGAAUUCCUAGUGUAGCGGUGAAAUGCGUAGAUAUUAGGAGGAACACCAGUGGCGAAGGCGGCUUACUGGACUGUAAAUGACGCUGAGGCUCGAAAGCGUGGGGAGCAAACAGGAUUAGAUACCCCUGUAG
rnacentral:rRNA from 1 species